AGCGCAGGCGGACCGGCAAGUUGGAAGUGAAAACUAUGGGCUCAACCCAUAAAUUGCUUUCAAAACUGCUGGCCUUGAGUAGUGCAGAGGUAGGUGGAAUUCCCGGUGUAGCGGUGGAAUGCGUAGAUAUAUGGAAGAACACCAGUGGCAAAGGCGGCUUACUGGACAACAACUGACGUUGAGGCUCGAAAGUGUGGGUAGCAAACA
rnacentral:rRNA from 1 species